rnacentral:rRNA from 1 species
UUGACCUCAAAUCAGGUAGGACUACCCGCUGAACUUAAGCAUAUCAAUAAGCGGAGGAAAAGAAACUAACAAGGAUUCCCCUAGUAACUGCGAGUGAACCGGGAAAAGCUCAAAUUUUGAAUCUGGCGGUCUUUCGGCCGUCCGAGUUGUAAUCUAGAGAAGCGUCUUCCGCGCUGGACCGUGU